UAUCCUCACUGUAACAAAUAUACUUCAUCAAGAGCAUAAUUCCAUUAAUAGAGCAAAGCUUUCUAACCUUUCCCAACCUAAGGCCACAAUCGCACAUAUACUUCUAUUGUGCCAAUGACAACUACCUGAUUGAGAGGAUCGCUGUGUGUUGAUUUCCAUACUAUGGCAUAUACCCAUAAUGGGGGAUCGGUCAAUAAGCGGGUGGUGCAGUUAAGAUAAAUAGCAGAAAUGAAGAAAUGCAAGGCAAUCUAAGAGUCGUCACAUUACGCAGCACGGGUACGUGAGAGCACAUGUGCACACGCCACUUUACAUGGUGUCAAGGAGGCAUCAGAGGAGCCUUCUGAAGAGUGAAGUUGUGAACAUAAAUUUUUUUGUUUUGUUGUGCCACCAGCCAUCGACUUCAAUAUGACAUCCUCCAUCGUACAUGUCAACACUUCAAGUCAGGUUAGAAAGAAAAGAAAAUGCGGUGAUUUGGAGUUUGUCCAGUCCAGUCCAGUCCAGUUGGAGAGCUCGGCUUCUAUAAGUGAGAGUGGUUUUGAGAUAAAGUGCGGUGUGUUGAAACAUUUAAGCGAUAAAAUUCCAAUAUGCAGUGAAGUCCAACUUUGUUAGUGUAAAAAAAAAUCGUUUUUAUAGUGGGCUUUGCCUUUAUGACACAAGCUUUUUGUUUGUUAUUGCUGUAUAUAGUCAACAGAAUCAUUUGCAAUCAAAACAAGAAUUCUAUCUAUUUUGCAAACUAUCAAUUUUUUUUACCAUCCUUAAAUGGGAAUUUAUAUUAGUUUGAUUGCACUUUCUUCAGAUAGUGGUACCUUGCCAAGUAUUUCAGAAGAAAUAAACACACAAGAGAAACUGCAAUGCUGUUGAUCAUAAGCUUGUAACGUUCAUGCUUAGGUGAGCACUUGUGCAAUGGACAGAGCACAUCAGUUCAGACAGAAAGAGAAAACUUGUUGAGUGCAGAUGACCUACAUAUAAGAAAUAAAAACUUCCGUAUGGUCAGAACUUUAAAGCAUUGCAUUUGGAACAAGUGUGAACAAGUGCUAUAAUCUCCGUUUUGACCAAUGAUAGUUCUUUUAUGACUGUCCUGCAACUGCUUAGUUUGCGGAAUGAAUCAUUCAUAUUGCACUACUUAAAGAUAGACAGCUUCAAUAGAUAUCUGUGUGGCUGGGUGGGAAAUAUUUGAAGCAAAAACUGCUCCAGCCAAGGUUAAAAAGUUUCAGAUGUUUCGGUACCAGCUCAGUCCCUUCUUCAGGGGGCGACUCAAGUGGCUGAAGAAACAGUGUCCUUUAAACUCCUUUCUUUGUGUUGCGAUUCCUCCUCUCCUCUCUUUUGAAUGUGCCACGACUAAAGCAAGUCUCCUCACUGGGUUGGUUACGGUGUCGAUUAUAGAGGUGCUGUUGAAAUCAACUGCAUGGCCGUGCUUCUCACAGUGUUCAGCGAGAGUGCUGCACUGGGCUUUGAGUUUCCGUACGUCGUUCUUGUGCUGGCGGAUUCUGUCAUAAAUGCUCUUGGUUUCACUGAUGCAAGUGGCAGGUGCACUUAGAGCACAAUACUUUGCAAACAAUCCCCUGUCACUUUUCCUAGGACGGGCAGUCCUUUGGCUGUGGGAGAAACUAUGCGAGCAUCAACACUGGCUUGUGCGCAACCUUGAUGCCUUUUUUCGCCAGCACCCUUGAAAGGUGCUCGCUAAUUCCAGGAACAUAAGAAAUGCCGACGCGACAGGUUUACUUUGUCUUUUUUCUGUGAUCUUUUCUUUGUUGCAAAUGAGUGCUCACCAUUUUGAUUAAUGUCAUUAAGUAUUGCUAAUAGCAUAAAGCAAUUCUCUAUGCUGACAGCUUGUAGAGGACUUCAACUACUUGUGGAAAGCGUCACCCCAAAACCCUUACUUUCUAUACUUACAGUAACAUUUAAAAAUUAUUUGAACUUUUAUAAGAUGUUUUAGUAGCUUUUGCAUGUCCUCCAUAUCCUUGUAAAGCUUUUUCCAGAUCUGACUUGCUACUUUUAUAGCCAAUCAUUUUAGUCUCACAGUGCAAAUAGCUUUUGUCAUUUUUUUGUAGCACCGUCAUAGACCCUUUUCCUAAUUUGCAAGUGCACUUCCAUGCACUGCACAUCUGCGUAACUAAUGGCAGCACCAGUUAUGGUUCAAACAGACUAGUGCUAGAUGCACAUGCUGAGGCCUCUCUAUUGCAUGGUUUCAUCACAAGAGCCACUACCACAUUUUUCAUGCCAUAAGACAAGCAAACUGUGCUUGUAUCUGAUGACUGGAAAAAUGACUGCCACCAUUAGCUUGAGAAACUGCUUUUUGGGAAAACUAGCUUUACAAUUAUGAUUUACGUCCAUUGCUCCACAUCUGUGUAACUUCUGCAUAUGCUACACUCUGCUCCUUUGCAUUCCCCUCCAACUCUUAUUGGUUAUCUUACAGCAAUUGUUGCAAACCAGCCUCUGCAUUGGUAAUUAGUGAGAAUUGUAAUUUCCUAUAAUGUUCCCAAUUGAUGUGACACCACUAAUUUGCCCUCCAUACCCCACUAAGUUUUGUCUUGAUCUGUAUUUCAAUUAUUUUGCUCUGGGUAAAGACACCUGCUCUGACAACAUUUUUGGUAAUUCUUUUCUCUUGACAUUUAUGACUUAUUCUAUUACUCUAAAUUAGCAGCUUUCCUGUUACAAAAAAAAAAAAAAAUGAAGAAUUGCUAACAUGUACAACAGUCCCUCUUCCAAGAUAUAGUCUGUGGAGGAAGAAAAACUACACAAAAAUGCUUAUCAAGCAAGGGAUGACAAUUUUUCACUUCUAAUGUACAGUCACUCCAGCAGCACUAAAAAAGUGAUUCCAUUAAGUUGACUAAGGACACAAGUGAGAAUUCAUUCUCAGAUGAACUGUACAGGGUCAUGGGACAGAAGAAAUAGUUCGUUUUAACUGUAUAAUUACAGCAACUUGACAAAGCUGAAAA
rnacentral:lncRNA from 1 species